rnacentral:lncRNA from 1 species
AUGAUUUUGUUUCUGAUUAUACUUUUAAUUUUAACAUUACACACCCAAAAGAAACACAAAGCUACCGAGUCAAAACAAACACAAACUCCCGAUCCGAGUCACCUCCUUCCAACUAAUCAAAACCCUUCAUUUUAAUCUCCACCAAUCAGAAUAAAGCACAAGAAUCCACUAUUUCUCAUUCAAAAAACUCAACUUCCACGUAUAUAUAUAACCAUGCAUUAUUUACCUGAUUAGCCUUUUCGCAAUCUGAAACCCUAGUUCCCAAAUCCAUCUAUUCUCACCUUUUCCAGUAAGAUUAUUAUGCAUUUUCUUCUUUAAUCGUUCAUCAACAGUUCAAAAUUGGUUGAUUUUGUUCUGACUGUGUUUUUCUUUUGAAAUUUAUUAAGAUUUGUUACUUUGAUUCGCAAUGGCUCGUACGAAGUAGACCGCUUGUAAGUCCACCGGUGGAAAGGGUCAAAGGAAGCAACUCGCUAGCAAGGCUGCUAGGAAAUCUGCUCCAACAACCGGAGGAGUGAAGAAGCCUCAUCGUUAUCGUUCUGGAACUGUCGCACUACGGUGAAUUGGCCAAACAUGCUGUUUCCGAGGGUACUAAGGCUGUUACCAAGUUUACUAGCGCUUAGAGGAGAUUGGUUUGUUGGGUUAGGUUUUGUUUGGUUUAUGUAACUGGAUUUUGGUAAUUUAAUGUAAAGCUAGUUAAUGUUCAUUUAUUAGUUUGAGGUGCCUUGAAGUUGGACUGGAAGAAGACAACAAGUAGAGAAAUAUGCUAUGACCGGAAGAUUGAAGAAAGUUUGUUUAUACACGUAAAUGAAAGGGAGACUAGAAUUGUUCAAAGAUAAUCUGCCACAAAAUGUUCUUUAAUGUUGAAAUUAGGUGUAUGGUUUUUGUGUAGUUUGGA